rnacentral:rRNA from 1 species
CCUCUUCGGAAGGGACUUGGGGAGGGAUCAUUACACAAAUAUGAAGGCGGGCUGGAACCUCUCGGGGUUACAGCCUUGCUGAAUUAUUCACCCUUGUCUUUUGCGUACUUCUUGUUUCCUUGGUGGGUUCGCCCACCACUAGGACAAACAUAAACCUUUUGUAAUUGCAAUCAGCGUCAGUAACAAAUUAAUAAUUACAACUUUCAACAACGGAUCUCUUGGUUCUGGCAUCGAUGAAGAACGCAGCGAAAUGCGAUAAGUAGUGUGAAUUGCAGAAUUCAGUGAAUCAUCGAAUCUUUGAACGCACAUUGCGCCCUUUGGUAUUCCAAAGGGCAUGCCUGUUCGAGCGUCAUUUGUACCCUCAAGCUUUGCUUGGUGUUGGGCGUCUUGUCUCUAGCUUUGCUGGAGACUCGCCUUAAAGUAAUUGGCAGCCGGCCUACUGGUUUCGGAGCGCAGCACAAGUCGCACUCUCUAUCAGCAAAGGUCUAGCAUCCAUUAAGCCUUUUUUUCAACUUUUGACCUCGGAUCAGGUAGGGAUACCCGCUGAACUUAAGCAUAUCAAUAAGCCGGAGGAAGA